CGACCCUGCCUUUCAGGCAUCCUCUCCCAAAACUUCCAAAGCCCGGUCGCUCGAUCGGGCUUUUUUUUGUCCUGC
rfam:Novosphingobium barchaimii strain NS277 contig_25, whole genome shotgun sequence.